GUGAAGAAGUCCCGGCGUUCAUUGACACUACCCUGUGGAAAAGGAAGAUGGAACAGAGGAAACAAAUUCUUUGAGCAAUCAGGGUUCUCCGUAGCACAAGUUGGUGGAUAGUUCCAAACCUCUUUAGUUCAUUUCCUGCGGUAAAUUCCAUGCCAUUUUCAUGAAUGCUCUUUUGGAGGUCCCAAGGAGUGAGGUCAGCAGUAUUGAGCUCUAGUUCUGCGUGGGAGAUGUUUGCGGCCACGAAGCGUGGGGCAGGCGGACCUAAACCGUGAGCGCCAAGGCUUGUAGGUGAGCGGGGAGGACACCUGCCGGCGGAGGAAGCGCCCUGUUCAGGGGACAGACAGUCCUCCUCGGGCCCAAUGAGGAGCGUUCGUCUCUAGGCCUAGGCUCAGCGCGGUCAUGUUGGG